rnacentral:rRNA from 1 species
GCUUACGGCCAUACCACCACAAUUGCGCCCGAUCUCGGAAGCAAAGCAGGGUCGGGCCUUGUUAGUACUUGGAUGGGAGACCGCCUGGGAAUACCAGGUGCUGUAAGCU